ACGAACGCUGGCGGCGUGCUUAACACAUGCAAGUCGAACGGAAAGGCCCUGCUUUUGUGGGGUGCUCGAGUGGCGAGCGGGUGAGUAACACGUGAGUAACCUGCCCUUGACUUUGGGAUAACUUCAGGAAACUGGGGCUAAUACCGGAUAGGAGCUCCUGCUGCAUGGUGGGGGUUGGAAAGUUUCGGCGGUUGGGGAUGGACUCGCGGCUUAUCAGCUUGUUGGUGGGGUAGUGGCUUACCAAGGCUUUGACGGGUAGCCGGCCUGAGAGGGUGACCGGCCACAUUGGGACUGAGAUACGGCCCAGACUCCUACGGGAGGCAGCAGUGGGGAAUAUUGCACAAUGGGCGGAAGCCUGAUGCAGCAACGCCGCGUGCGGGAUGACGGUCUUCGGGUUGUAAACCGCUUUCGCCUGUGACGAAGCGUGAGUGACGGUAAUGGGUAAAGAAGCACCGGCUAACUACGUG
rnacentral:rRNA from 1 species